rnacentral:rRNA from 1 species
AAAGGAAUAGACGGGGGCCCGCACAAGCGGAGGAGCAUGUGGCUCAAUUCGAUGCAACGCGAAGAACCUUACCCAGACUUGACAUGUAACUGCACGCCCGGUGAAAGCCGGGUUCCUUCGAGGGUGUUACACAGGUGCUGCAUGGCUGUCGUCAGUUCGUGCCGUGAGGUGUUUGGUUAAGUCCACCAACGAACGCAACCCUUGUGUUCAGUUGCCAGCGGGUCAUGCCGGGAACUCUGAACAGACUGCCCAUUUACAUGGGAGGAAGGUGGGGAUGACGUCAAGUCAGUAUGGCCCUUACGUCUGGGGCUGCACACGUGCUACAAUGGCCGGUACAGAGGGACGCCAAGCCGCAAGGUGGAGCAAAUCCCCAAAACCGGCCCCAGUUCGGAUUGCGGUCUGCAACUCGACCGCAUGAAGUCGGAUUCGCUAGUAACGGCGUAUCAGCUACGACGCCGUGAAUACGUUCCCGGGCCUUGUACACACCGCCCGU